GAAAGAGGAAAGGCGGGUUCAAUGAUAAGACUAGAAAUGUCAACAGAGGCACUACCUUCUCUUCUGCCCUUCCUUUUUCCUAAAUUUUGCCAUCAAUUUCAGUGGAACAAUUCCAGGAGGAAGCCAAACACAUUCUGCCUGUGGAUCUACUCUGGUUCAGUAGAAGGCAAUGCAUGGAUGAAGUGUGUUUCUGUUUCCAAAGCACAAAUCCAUCCAUUAGAGAGCAGUUAAAGAUAACCUGUAGCAAAGAUAAUUGAUUAUACCCCUGUUUGUGUGCCCUUUUAAAAUUGGCACUAUAAACAAGCAUGAAAAAAAAAGAACCUUUUUCGUCUGCAGCAAUUGAAAAGCACAUCUUUUUGACUUGUUAGAGUAUUACUGGUCUUCAGCUUCACUUAUGUGGGUGCUUUGCAACACAGUAUUAUCCGGUUCAAACAGUCCAAGUGUGAAAUAUGGGUAAACCGCAUACCAAACUGGUACUAGAGAUCCAGCAGCACAAUAGUUUAAUUACAUUGUGGUCGUUUUCAAAGCCUUGAGUGCAAAGUGCUGUGGCUGCUUCCUUUUAGCAUGUGGUUUUGGAGACAGGCAGAGGGUGGAAUGGAAAACCGCCCAGCGUGCUCCAACAGACAUAUAAUUAAAGCUGAUGAGUCAUGAUUGGACAUGUGUUCCAAGGAAGGAACUCCUUGCCUAAGUCUUGAGUUCCUCCAACACCCUCUUUAAGGGAAGGAAUUUGGGCUGGUAAAUGAUUUCCAACCGUUCUCCAUUUAUUUUGAUUGAUUUCCCCCGUUUGCAUUUGCUCCCAACAGAACAAAAAAGUCCAUAUUGUCUAGAGAAUUUAAGAAGGACUGCAAAGGCAUAAGUCUAAAUUUCUCGUGGUAAGCUCUCUGAUUGACUUUGGGCCGCUUAGCGUUUCUUAAAUUAGCCUACCUUGUAGGGCUGUGAUAGGGUAAAAUGGGAGGGAUCCAUUUUUAUUCAUGCAGGGUACGGUGAAUAUGAACAUUACCAAAAAUAGCUGCGAAAAAGAUUCACUCAAACCCGAGGAAGAAUUUGGAUAGAUGAAGAACUUCCUGUUUAAAGGUAAAGGUUUCCCUCGCACAUAUGUGCUAGUCGUUCCCAACUCUAGGGGGUGGUACUCAUCUCUGUUUCAAAGCCGAAGAGCUAGCACUGUCCGAAGACGUCUCUGUGGUCAUGUGUUAGUUUCCCACCAAAGGUGGUCCCUAUUUUUCUACUUGCAUUUUUUACAUGCUUUCAAACUGCUAGGUUGGCAGAAGCUGGGACAAGUAAUGGGAGCUCACCCCGCUACGCAGCACUAGGGAUUCGAACCGCUGAACUGCCGACCUUUCGAUCCACAAGCUCAGCAUCUUAGCCACUGAGCCAUGAUGAAGAACUUCCUGUUUAGGCAACCAGAUAUAAAGGAAAUCUUGCCUCUCUGCUUCUGUCUCUAUGAUAUUAAGUGAGUGGGGGCCCCUGCCUCUUCCGCAGCCACUGAGCAUCUGGCACGCAGCCAGGAGAACAGGAAGAGCCUCAGGGAUAUGCAAAUGCCUCCCUGGAUUGUACUGUCUGCCUCAAUCUGAAUCAGUCCUAGGGACGAAACAGGACCACCCUCAGACAGGGAAGACCAAAGGCUAAAAUGGUUCUAGCCCACAGCCAAGAAACUUUAUUUGAAGCCCAGAGAGAAUGAACCACCCAUCAGAGAUAAGAGGCUACUCAAGAGAUCCAUGAUCAAUUUUCAUUCUUUGGAGCAUAGACAUUUCAGAGCCUGUGUCAAUAAAUAAAUAAAUAAAUGUUCGUCUUAUCUUUUA